rnacentral:lncRNA from 1 species
AGUUGCGGGUGAGACAAAGAAAAAUAUUGUUGGAAAAUUUUAUUCUAAAAUUAAAGGAAUUUUGAAUAAUAAGGAGGAAUGUUUCAAGCUAGAAGAAGCCGCUACAAAACAGCAAAGACUCAGCAUGGUGGAUGGACAAAGAAAAAACUGGUUCAUCUUGAGAGUUAGACUGUUUUAAUCGGGAUAAUGAUGAAGUUUCUUUUGCCUUAACCCUUUUGAACAAUGAGACGACAACAAUGACGACAAAGACACCACCACCACCACCAACAACAACAACUCCAUGUGGGGCCAGAGAGCUAUGGGACUGAGAGGAGCAGCCUUGGAGCAAGAGUGGGGUGGAGGCAAUCCAAACCCCUGAAAUCUAAUCCUGAGAUCUGUAGAAGUAGGAAUACUGCCGCCUCUGCCCCGGGCCUGUAUGUACUGGUGCAUGCAGUCCAGUGCCCCCCACCCUUACCUUACCAGAGGAGGUCAAGUAGCCAGUGGCCAAUUUAAACUUCCUUUCCCCUUAUAAGUCAUGUGCAGCAGCACCUGGAAUUCCUCCUUAUGCAAAUGAGGCAUCCCCAGCCAAUGAGGUACACUCACCCUGAUAGCCCACCCCUUAAAGGUUUAAAUAGCUUUUUUCCUCCUUCCACAAUAAACUGAAUCAGCCUCUGAAGCUAA